UUGGCAGAACCAGCCAAUGCUGCACAGAAACAUGCCAGCCUGCAACCUGUUACUGAGUGGGGCCAUCCACUUUUCAGGUUGCAUGGCUACCCAGACAAUAAGGAUGUUGAAACUGUUUGGGCUUCAGUGCAUCAGUGCCAGCACCUUCUUCCGCCAUCAACGCCUGUACACAAUCCCUACUAUCGUGCAGGCCUGGCAAAAUGAGCAGGCUGGGAUCAUCCGAGAACUGAAGGAGAUGGGGGGGUGGGCUAAUCCUCUCUGGUGACUGCAGGUCAGACUCUCCUGGCCAUUGUGCCAAAUAUGGCACCUACUCCUUGAUCGAGGACAGAAUAAACAAGGUUUUGGAUCUUCAACUUGUCCAGAGCUCAGAGGUCCCAAGCAGCACCUGGUGUGAACUAGAGGGUCUGAAACGCAGCAUUGACUUCCUUAAGGAGCAACACAUGCAAGUUUCAGCCCUUAUUACGGACAGAAAUCGCCAGGUUGCCAAGUGGGUGCGGGAGGAGUUGUGUCCAGGAGGAACGAGUCAUUUCUUUGAUAUCUGGCAUAUUGGUAAAAGUCUAGGGAAAGCUUUGGAUGCUGCUGCAAAGGAGAGGUGAGGACCUGAAGCUGUGGAGGCCAGCCAUCAUUAAUCACCUGUACUGGACUGCAGCUUCCACUCCUGAUGGAGAUCCAGAUGUGAUGGAAGCCAAGUGGCAAAGUAUGGUGAAUCAUGUUCAGGACAUCCAUGAACACGGCACUCCUGCAUUUCCCUGCUGUGCACAUCCACCUCUGGAGGGAGAAGCAAGGGACAAGGAGUGGCUGGAACCAGCCAUUAAACUGGAGAGGGUGACUUCAAGAACAGCAUUGGUGAAGGAUGUUCGGAAGUUGUCUCCAGACCUAUUCCCUGGAGGCAUUUCACUCCCUCAUCCUCCACUUUGCACCAAAGCACACUGGGUUCUCCUUCCUUGGGAUGUACAGCAGGCUUCUCAUGGCAGCCCUGCACUUUAACCACAAUAGCAGCAGAGAGGUUGCUCGAACCAGUGAUGGUGAGGUGCGUUAUGCAGUUUGCUACCCAAGGUUCUGCAAAGGUGGCUGGGUAGUUCGCCCUAUCAAGGAGAAGCCAUCAUACGCAUACGCUGCAGCCCUGAUGGAGUCUCUGAGAGAGGGCUACUCCAGGUCACCAGAGACUCUACGGGAGAGCAGUGCAGUCUUGUCCUCCACUGCCCCUGCCCCCCUUUCCACGUCCUGCCAGGAGAUCGCCAAGGAUGAGGCAGUUGGCCUUUAUCUUGCACGGCAUUCCCGGUUUAACACAGGACAUGAGUGUGAAAGCAGCAGAUUCUGUGGUUCACAGUUUUCAGGUGUCCAUGAUGGAGAGGGAGGUUGUGUGGCUCAGGCUCUAUCUGUUUGGCUACACCUGGAAGCUGCUUGACAUCCUCUCGGAUCCAUUUUCGUCAUGUUUACAUUUAUAUGUAUAAUUUUGUAAUGGUACUCUGUACGCACAACAACUAUAGCAUCUCCAGGGUCUGUCCAGGGACAGGGAUCCCUCGGUUGCUCUUCCUGAGGUUUCUUCCAUUUCCCCCCCCGUUAAAGGGGUUUUUGGGGAGGUUUUCUUUCUCUGUAUGUCGUACAGAUUGUAAAGCCCCCGAGGUAAAUUGUGAUUUGUGAUAUCGGGCUAUAUA